CCAGGUGAAACAACGCUGUUAAAUGGCUAAUCGAAGUAUAGGUAAAAGUUUUCGAUCGUUUACAGAACAAUAACUGGCAUGAGAAUGCUUCAGGCGCCGUUGCCGUUGCCUGUUCUGCCUGAUGUGACCCACGUUCGAGUGGUACUAGUUAUUCGAGGCCUAGUUAUUGAGAGGAAACUGAACCAAUGUUACGCUUCUUAGCGCGGUACACGUGCAUUUCGAACAGUAUCAUCCACAUCGUAUCGCCGAUACUGGCGAUAUACGGAGAGAUUCGGCAAAUCGUCGCGGCGGGAGCGUAGUCGCUAUUACGGUGACGUUCGUAUCUUAGCUUGGCUCAAACUGUUAUCCACUCAGCCCACCCGCAGAUCACAAACCCACGUUUGACGCCGAGGAGUGGCAAAUGGGAACGUAACCGAACAACAAAAUGAAUAUCGUGCACUUAGUUUGUCGAUCUGUCCAGUGGACCGCUUGUACAUGACGCCGCUGCAGUGUGACUGAGUCAGAGUUUCAUGGUACGAUUUAAACUGUAACGUCAAAACUCCUUUGGUACUCGAGAGAAGCUCGAGGGUAUGGCGAGUCGAGGUUGAGGACUUGGUUAUCCAAGAAGAAAGGGAAGGAAAGCGGCUCCCGAAGUCGCUGGGAAGCUGAACGAAAGGAGGACACCAUGCCAGUCCGCUGCGGAGCGAGCCACACAUGGGGUGUUCUUCUAUAAGGCCGACGUGGCGGGAUACAAACCGCGAAGUUGGUAAGCACGUCACGUCGCCAUCCCUCUUGCCCCGUCCAAGCCGAACAGGGGCUGCCGGGGAGGACGCUUCCCGGACAUUGCCUCGUCUUCAUGACUUGGUCAAGCUUUUCGAGCCAAGAAACGAAGCCUGGUUUCAUCCGACACUAAGCGAAUCAGCCCCAUACGGACGUUCGAACGAGUUCAGCCUUGGAAGAACUCGCUAGCGGAAAGGAACUACAGUUUCUGCUGCGAUCAGUACUGAUGUCGCUGGCAGUUAUGUGCGGCUUUUGCAGCUGUCUCAUGCUAUGAUAUGUGUUAGCUUCUAUUUCGACCGAGGCUUGCUCAGAGAACUUGUCAUGUCGUGCCGUGUUUGCUGUCUACGAAAUGGUUGUGAUGUGGUAGGCUUGUCAAAAUUUUAGCUAAUAAA